rnacentral:rRNA from 1 species
GUAGGGUGCGAGCGUUAAUCGGAAUUACUGGGCGUAAAGUGUGCGCAGGCGGCUCCGCAAGUCGAGUGUGAAAUCCCCGGGCUUAACUUUGGGAAUUGCGCUCGAAACUACGGAGCUGGAGUGUGGCAGAGGAAGGUGGAAUUCCACGUGUAGCGGUGAAAUGCGUAGAGAUGUGGAGGAACACCGAUGGCGAAGGCAGCCUUCUGGGCCAACACUGACGCUCAUGCACGAAAGCGUGGGGAGCAAACAGGAUUAGAUACCCUGGUAGUCCACGCCCUAAACGAUGAUGACUAGUUGUUGGAGGAGUUAAAUCCUUUAGUAACGCAGCUAACGCGUGAAGUCAUCCGCCUGGGGAGUACGGUCGCAAGAUUA